UCCAGAAUAAAAGAGAACAUCCCAAUCGAGUGAAGGGACUUGUGGAUACUGUGGUUCCUAAUUACUGUGAUCCAACAUUUGCCUCGCAUUUCAGGAUGAAAAGACAAGCAUUUCAGCUGUCCAGCAGCUGGGAUUUCUCCUUCAUCCCUGCAGUGGGAUGGAAAAUGAUGUCACCGAUGCUGAUGCUUCUGCAGCUAGCAGAAAAGUGCCAUUGGUACCGAUUUGUGAAGAGCUUCUUCCUGAUUGAGCUCAGGAAGAUGAACAGCUGGGAGAACCAAUCAUCAUGGAGAAGAGCGGUCACAUGUGGAUCAUGGAUGUUAGAACUCCAUGUCUGACUGACUGAAGUAUGUAGUUCUGUUACCAUGGUGAGCAUGGAAUCCAGCUCAGCCAGACAGAGCAUCUGAUUGGCUGGCAUGCCGACAUUGGUAUAUCAUGCAGCCGACUGACUCGCCCAAUGGAGACCGUGCA